rnacentral:lncRNA from 1 species
UUCCUUAAGAAAAAGAACAAAAGGAAACAAGGACCCCAUUAUUCAACCAUUAGCAUAACACCACAUCACAUCUAUUCAAAAUAUCACAUCUAUUCAAAAUAGCCAUGAAAAUAACUAAUCAAAUCUCCAUUAGGUUUAAUGCAAAAACACUAACAAAUUCAGGUAAAUAAUAACUUUAAAUAACCAUCAACAUAUAGAAUAAACAAAGUGCAACAAGACAAACCAAAUACAACCAAGAAAUAUAAUAAACUCCUGGUUAUUGAUCUCCUGGGUAAUGUAAUAUCCAACAGUAAACUCUGAAAAUUUCUUUAUAGCCUAGUCAUCAAACCAAUAUCCAACCACCUUACUUUUGCACUUCCUAAGAAGCUUGAUCUACUUGUCGAUGAUGUCAAUUUCACCAUCCAAAUGCUUAAGAAGUCAAUUGCAUUGAGAAAGAGUUAUAUUAGU